UAACGAAAAAAUUCAAUAACUUUUGAUGUGUGUACGGCUUUCAUAUGCCGGAGUGAUAAGUGUCAGAGAAAAGUCGAUAUUCAAUAAUGAAUUUGCUGCUAAACUACACGGUAACUAGCGUCGAAAUUUUGCAAAUCUAUCCAGUACGUAUUCAUUUUUGCCUACCAAAAAUAUCACCGCGUAAUCUUGGAUAGCGAAUAUUCACCCAUCUACCUUUUGAUUCUCUCCGUGUAGGGAAUCGUGAUGAUUAUUUAAAUCUUCGGGUUGACAAAUGAGUCUUGACUUGACCUCAUAUUUCCGACGAUGUUCUCUGGUUAUGUCAAAGCGACGUGUUUCGUUUUGGAGAGCGGAGUGAGAAGGAAACCAUACGAAAUAAGCAUUGAGCGUGUGGUCAUCGACCAAAUGAGCCACGUGGAGGCUACGUGGGUUCGAAAACGACGCAAACUUUUUUACACGUGUUCUCGUUACCUUUGGACCCUUGCCUCGUAGUCUAUUAUUUCUUAUUCUUAGUCUCUGACAUUUUUGUAGGACGACACACGUGUUUUUUUGGCGCGAGACAUAUUCAACGACCGCCCGAAUAUCUCUCUGAAUUCGUGCCAUUUUUUUUCAACCUCCGAGACCGGAUUGCAUAAUUAUUGGUCGGUUGCCUGAGUCCAAAAUGGAAGUAAACUUCGAAGUGGCGCGAGCGAUUGUACCGAGCUUACAAACUUGAUGGUUUAAUCAUCCUCGUUCAUUAAGGCAAGGAACAUCUCCUCUCGAUAAACAGGCUUUAAAUAACCUGCAAAAAUUUCAAGAACAAAUGUUUGUCGAAGCAAUUCUUUGAGGCUACCGCGCCGCUACGAAUUUAAAUGUACUAAAAUAUCGGCCGUACUAAAAAAAAUGUAUUAAAAAAUGAAAAAAAAAUGUUUCUUCUUCUUUUAAAAGUGAAGGGGUCCUCGCAUUUCUUAUUUCUCUGUUUUUGUUUUGGUCACACGUGUGCUCCUGCACAAGAGAGACAGGCAUUUUGCGGACGGGAGGGGAUAUCGCUAAAUGGAAAAUCACAAGGAUCCGCGCCCUCCACGUUUUUGCGGCUGCUCGUCUAACCGGUUCACAGUCUCCUCGACUCAACGAGCUAUACGGUACGGCGUAUCGUUUUUUUCGAGGAUAUACACGUGGCACAGCAGUAAAGAAAAUACAAAAAAUCUUUGACCUAUCAAAACGGGGGAAUAUAUAACAAGUUUUGUGGAUAAAACGGUAUUCGAGUUGAAUGUAAGCACGGUCCUCGACGAGAGAAGUGUUUUCAUAAAAAUAACACAAAUGGAGAAGGAUCUCGACUAUUUUUUCGAGCUCGAAGAAUACGAAACGAUUGUAAUUCACGAAUUUUAUUGACAAAACUGCUCGUGUCCGUCGUCGUGCGCUCCAAAUGCGAGGGUUUUUUUUUAGGCAGCCGCUUCACGUUUCCGGACUCAAUUUACUGCGUAAAUAUGAUUUCAGUGCCUUCGCACAAUUACUCGGCGUGUUUGAACAAUUCGUCAGCUUCAUUCCCCUGUUUAUUCGCGACCAAUAUUGUACUAAUUGACAGCAUAAAUAUGUGGAAAAAUUUUCCAAAAUACACGGAAUCUUCGAGCACUGUUGUUUACCUUUUUUUCGACGAGUGCGCUAUUUUUAGGUUUUGUGAGGUCGAAGACGGGGUCGGAUCGCAUACGCUUGACGCAGAUCUGUGUUUUGCGGUUUACACAUCCGACGCGCACUCGUUAAAUCGCCUUUUUGAAAAUCGUUUUUUUAUCGAAACUAUGAAUUGUACUCGUAUAAUUAAAUAUUCACGGAAAUUGUGUACAAACUAUUGUAAUGACGCGAAAGAUGAUUCAGGAUCAAUGUCGAGCAACUUUUCAACCGGAAGGGCGGUGUUCCUGCUCCUGCAAAGAUUUCGGUCGUAAAGUUUUCAGGGUCAGCAAGAUUCAACGUCUAUACGCACGUAUAGCCCCUUCAAGGCCACGAUCCCAAGACAAUUGUCGGACUUUAUUUUCCAGAUUAUUUCGUUCGGAUUUUUCAGAGUGAAAACGUGACCUUAUCGCGUGUCUGUGCGCAGGAAAAAUCAUUUUCUGGGAAAGAAAAAAACGUUUUUGAACGAGAAUCUUUAGUUGAGUCGUCAGGACUAGUAAAAAAGAUGAAGAGAAAUGAACGUAAAAUGGAUGCACGGAGAAACUGAAUUCAUCGAUUAGUUUUCGAUCACAGAGAGCGGAGACAGAGGAGAGCACAAUUGGAGAAGCGGAGCGAGAGGGAGGGGGCUCGGAUCGAUUGACUCGAAUUGCGCUUCGAGGAAACGUGCAUUUACGUCCCAAGGCAAAAUUCAAUUUGGACUACCCUCAUCACACUUUCCAU
rnacentral:lncRNA from 1 species